rnacentral:rRNA from 1 species
GGGCCCGCACAAGCGGUGGAGUAUGUGGUUUAAUUCGAUGCAACGCGAAGAACCUUACCAGGUCUUGACAUGUCACUUUUUCUUGAAAAAGAAAGUUCCCGAGUGAACACAGGUGGUGCAUGGCUGUCGUCAGCUCGUGUCUUGAGAUGUUGGGUUAAGUCCCGCAACGAGCGCAACCCUUAUUCUGUGUUGCUAUUUAUAGGAAACUCAGAAGACUGCCGGUGAUAAGCCGGAGGAAGGUGAGGAUGACGUCAAGUCAGCAUGCCCCUUACGACCUGGGCCACACACGUGCUACAAUGGCCGGGACAAAGAGAUGCAAUCUCGCGAGAGCAAGCUAACCUCAAAAACCCGGUCUUAGUUCGGAUCGUAGGCUGCAACUCGCCUACGUGAAGGAGGAAUCGCUAGUAAUCGCAGGUC